rnacentral:rRNA from 1 species
GGCGUCAGAUUGAACGCUGGCGGCAGGCUUAACACAUGCAAGUCGAGCGGAUGAAAGUAGCUUGCUACUGGAUUCAGCGGCGGACGGGUGAGUAAUGCUUAGGAAUCUGCCAUUAGUGGGGGACAACGUUCCGAAAGGAGCGCUAAUACCGCAUACGUCCUACGGGAGAAAGCAGGGGACCUUCGGGCCUUGCGCUAAUAGAUGAGCCUAAGUCGGAUUAGCUAGUUGGUAGGGUAAAGGCCUACCAAGGCGACGAUCUGUAGCGGGUCUGAGAGGAUGAUCCGCCACACUGGGACUGAGACACGGCCCAGACUCCUACGGGAGGCAGCAGUGGGGAAUAUUGGACAAUGGGGGGAACUCUGAUCCAGCCAUGCCGCGUGUGUGAAGAAGGCCUUUUGGUUGUAAAGCACUUUAAGCGAGGAGGAGGCUACCUAGAUUAAUACUUUAGGAUAGUGGACGUUACUCGCAGAAUAAGCACCGGCUAACUCUGUG